UACGUAGGUGGCGAACGUUAUCCGGAGUGACUGGGCGUAAAGGGUCCGUAGGCGGGACGGUCAGCCGGCUGUGAAAUCUUCCAGCUCACCUGGGAGGGGUCAGUCGGAACUGCCGUUCUGGAAUCCGUGCGAGGUCGGUGGAAUUCCCGGUGUAGUGGUGGAAUGCGUAGAGAUCGGGAGGAACGCCAAAGGCGCAGGCAACUGGCUAGCACGAGAUUGACGCUGAGGGACGAAGGCGUGGGGAGCGAACAGG
rnacentral:rRNA from 1 species